AUUGAACGCUGGCGGCAGGCUUAACACAUGCAAGUCGAGCGAGAGGCGGACGGGUGCGUAAUGUCUGGGAAACUGCAUGAGGGAGGGGGAUAAAUACGGGAAACGGUGGCAAAUACAGCAUACCAUCAGAUGUGCCCAGAUGGGAUUAGCUAGUAGGUGGUGUAAUGGCUCACCUAGGCGACGAUCCCUAGCUGGUCUGAAAGGAAGAACAGCCACACUGUAACUGAGACACGGUCCAGACUCCUACGUGAGGCAGCAUUGGGGAAUAUUGCACAAUUGGCGCAAGCCUUAUGCAGCCAUGCCGCGUGUGUGAAGAAGGCCUUCGGGUUGUAAAUCACUGUCAGCGAGGAGGCGUUACUCGCAGAAGAAGCACCGGCUAACUCCGUGCCAGCAGCCGCGGUAAUUC
rnacentral:rRNA from 1 species